AUUACAGUCACGAGCCACCACACCCGGCCUGAAAAUAUUGCUAAUCUUUGAGUUACUGCCUGUUACUCAGAAAAUAUAGUGUAUACAUAGAGAAGUCUGUAUUUGAAUUUUGGAAAAUUUUUCAAAAUUUUAUUAUAUUUGUAUGGUCGUAUUUAUUAAAAGGGACUCUAUUUCAUAUACCUUAACAAAGAAAGGUGUAUGAGUUCUGAGUUCUAAAUUCUUAGAUCAAAUGUCUUUUUGAAUUUAAAAAAAAAGUAAUUUUCAUGGUGUUCUGUUGGGAAUAGCACAGUGCUGUGGAUUUGUGAGAGACAGAGCAAAAGUGCUCCUGCUGGGUUAGCAUCAUCUGCUUCUUCCACAGUGAAAGAGAAUUCUAUGACGGACUCUAGUGAGAUGUGACUGACUUUGGCCAACGAAGUCAUUUUUUGAUGGGUUUUCACCAUCGCCUCCUUCCUUUCUACCUCAAGAUCAGCAAUGCUUCUGACAGAGGUUGCCACUGAGUUCCAGGUGUGGAGAGGAAGCUGAGCUGGCCUGACAUGGACACCGACGUGAACCAGAAAUCAGCUGUUUAUUGUGUGGGUCAUUGUGAUUUUGAGGUUGUUUCUUACUGUGGUGUGGCCCAGCCUGUCCUGGCUCUUACAACAACGGAUGUUUUCCCUACACUGCAGUCAGUCCUCCGGGAUGCGUCCCGCCCUGAGAAGAAGGCAAACAUGUGCCCAGCUAAAAGCCUGUAUUUCAGUGUCCCUUGCUGGAAGUGUGGCCAAGGAGAUUGGGAUGACUAGAGCUCCAGCAGCCAUGUUGUGCCCAUGAGGUAAAUUCUAGAGAACAAAAUCCCACAGCUGAAGGUGGUGGAGCAGAAUGGUAUGAGGGACCUGGUUCCCAUUGACAAAGUGGAGCCCUCCUAUGCUCCCUGGUCAUCUAUCUCAGACCAUGCCGUGUGAAAGAAAGUCAUCCCCUAAUGUGACUUAAGCCAUGCUUACUUUGGGUCUCUGCUUACAGCAGACAAAAGCCAUUUCUAGAUAAUUAAGGAGACUAGGCAGCUCAGACUAGCCUGCUUGCAAGACAAGCUUUCUUAGCUGAGCUUAGGUCUUCACAGAGGACUCUUAUUCGGGGAAUUAGAGAAAAACUCAAAGCAAAGAGGAAUCUAGAUGAAAAGAGUGUAUUGUGGUGAAAGCUAAACAGUCAAAAAUAAACAGCAGUGUUGUCAACACAACGCCCUUCUUCAGGCUACUCAGACACUUCAGAGUCCUGUUUCCUCAGAAUCAGGGGAUUGAGAAUGACCUUAAAUAUCAUUUAAUUUUUUUAGCUCCACUCCCCUUUUUUCUUUUCUCUCUUCCCCUUUUCUCAGCCACAGAAAAUCAGUGUUCUUCUGUUUGUGCCUGCUUGCCUUUUGCUGCCCAUAUCUGAGCAAAGUUGUUCCAUAUGACCCUGUGAGAUUGGCAGAUCACAAGAUUUGUCCCAUGUCAUUCAAUGCCAGAUCCCAGAAGUAGCAACUCUUCUUUUGCUGAUGCCAAUCCAUCUAUUCAUCUAUCUCCAUCCAUCUAUCUAUUUAUCCAUCCAUCCAUUCAUCUACCCAUCCAUAGA